GACGUAGGGCGCAAGCGUUGUCCGGAUUUAUUGGGCGUAAAGAGCUCGUAGGCGGUUUGUCGCGUCUGCCGUGAAAGUCCGGGGCUCAACUCCGGAUCUGCGGUGGGUACGGGCAGACUAGAGUGAUGUAGGGGAGACUGGAAUUCCUGGUGUAGCGGUGAAAUGCGCAGAUAUCAGGAGGAACACCGAUGGCGAAGGCAGGUCUCUGGGCAUUAACUGACGCUGAGGAGCGAAAGCAUGGGGAGCGAACAGG
rnacentral:rRNA from 1 species